rnacentral:rRNA from 1 species
CAGUAGCCACGGUAAUACGUAGGGUGCAAGCGUUGUCCGGAAUUAUUGGGCGUAAAGAGCUCGUAGGCGGUUCGUCGCGUCUGCUGUGAAAUCCCGAGGCUCAACCUCGGGCUUGCAGUGGGUACGGGCAGACUAGAGUGCGGUAGGGGAGAUUGGAAUUCCUGGUGUAGCGGUGGAAUGCGCAGAUAUCAGGAGGAACACCGAUGGCGAAGGCAGAUCUCUGGGCCGUAACUGACGCUGAGGAACGAAAGCGUGGGGAGCGAACAGGAUUAGAUACCCCCGUAGUCCCUGUCUCUUAUAC